rnacentral:rRNA from 1 species
UAGGGAAUCUUCGGCAAUGGACGAAAGUCUGACCGAGCAACGCCGCGUGAGUGAAGAAGGUUUUCGGAUCGUAAAACUCUGUUGUUAGAGAAGAACAAGGACGUUAGUAACUGAACGUCCCCUGACGGUAUCUAACCAGAAAGCCACGGCUAACUACGUGCCAGCAGCCGCGGUAAUACGUAGGUGGCAAGCGUUGUCCGGAUUUAUUGGGCGUAAAGCGAGCGCAGGCGGUUUCUUAAGUCUGAUGUGAAAGCCCCCGGCUCAACCGGGGAGGGUAAUUGUAAACUGGGAGACUUGAGUGCAGAAGAGGAGAGUGGAAUUCCAUGUGUAGCGGUGAAAUGCGUAGAUAUAUGGAGCAAAGCCAGUGGCGAAGGCGGCUCUCUAGUCUGUAACUGACGCUGAGGCUCGAAAGCGUGGGGAGCAAACAGG